CAGUCCAGAAGCAGCUGCUGUGAUGUUCAACACUUAACCAGCUCUGAAGCUGCAUGAGUGAAAGAGGCGGCAGGAUCUGAAGAUAAUAAUGAAGAAACGGCAGCUCUGCUCCAUCAGUCAGUGUAACUUUCAGUGUUGACUGCAGAUUCAGAGCUUUGAGGAAAAAUAUCUGAGUUAACACGAUGAUGUCAAACUUACUGUGCUUCCUUGCACAGGUUAGGAUAUUUGAGAAGCAGAAGAAGAGCUUCUGGAACAACCAACAGGAAGGCAGCAACUGGAUGCUGCUCCUCUGAGACGGGAGCAUCAGGGCUGCAAUCUAAACAUACUGUGCUGCAGGAUGAAAAGCGGCAGAGAGGAGGAAGUCGGAGGAGCUGAAGGCUCUGACUUCUCCAGGCAAAUCUGCUGCAAAGACACGAGCAAAUUUAAUCACGAAGGAUCAUUCAUUGUUGCUUUUUAUGACUCUUUAAAUAAAAGAAAUUUUAAUGCUAUGAA